AAUAGCCAAUGGUUACCAAAACAAGCAAAAACAACUAAUUUCUGUCCAUAUAUACUUGCAUAGUUGCGCAUGUUAACAUACACCCUAGGUUGACACCAAGACACUCGACGAUUGGUUGGGGUGAGGAUGAAAAAGAGAAACUUAUGGAAAUAAACUGAAUGCGGGGCGUUUUGCCAAGGACCUUGUG